AUUUCUUCCCGAUCCCUCAAUUUAUUAUACUUCUUCGCUGCGUAACCGGUUGCUGGGUCUAUUCUAGUUUGCGUUGGCCUACCAACAUCUCCACCACCUUGUGCAAUAUUUAACUCUCUUUUGUGAUCUUCAGCUAUAUGUCUCAUUAACGUACCCGUACCCCCUUGCUUGCCUCCACUUCUAUGCUUAUAUAUUUGUUGACAAAUAUUGCAUUGCACC
rnacentral:lncRNA from 1 species